AUGGUGCUGUGUGUCGGCGACGUGAGUAUUCACCCCAUGAGAGCCCUGCCAACCAGAACCCUGUUUCCCCUGCAACCACCACCCUCCUCAACCCCCGCUGCUGGACCGGCUGUCAAAUGGGGCCUACGUGCAGACUGGCAGCAUCUCCUCUCAGUCCUUUUCUGCUCUAUUAGAAUCUGCAUCACUCCCUUUUUUCCCUUGCUCUCUGUCCCCUCCCUGUGUGUGUCAACAUCACCCCAUAUUACUCCCCCACAACCUUGUCCUCAUGUCACAAUUGCUAACACAGACACAAUGGCAUGCUAGUUCAAACAUACACGAACUAAAGAGACACACAAGCAAGCGCAUAUGCGUGCACGUACACUCACACACUCAACACAAUACACAACUACAAGUAUACACACACUGCAUUGUGGGAGAUCCUAAAUCAAAUUAAUGGUAAUCGUAUGCAAGAUGCAUCACUGGAAGAAUAAUAGUUUUCAGGGCCCUCAGAGUACCUAUUUGAAUGUGUUUGACAGAAUUCCCAGUUUCCUUUAGUAUUUUUAAUAAUUUUUACUUUUGACUACUAUUAUUUAACCCUUACGGACUGGAAAGACCAACUGAAUCUCUGAUGCAAAUGUUACAUUACAGAAAAAUCUGCUUAGGUCAUCUAUAUUUUUAUAUAGUUUUUACCUUCAACGUGUUUUUUUUUUUUAUUCGAGUUGAAGGCCCUGGCGACUCAGGACAGUUAAUUUACAAAUUUGGUCUUCUGAGAAACAGCGGAUGCCAUUCUGGUUCUUGUCAAGCUGGUUGAUCAACCAGCAAAUCUAGAAUGUAAUGUUUGUAUGUAUUCUACCAUGAUUGAGCUGACAGACGCUCAAGUCACCACAAGGAGUCGCUAGAGCAUGAUCAGACAAGGCAACCAUAACCGUAAAGUGCCGUAACGGUCCAAAAAUAUAUAACAGUAGAAUACUAGCCAGCCAUGACCAACCAACAGCCACCAAUCUAAUAAAUAAUGUAUAUUUUGUAUAGGAAAAAAUUAUUAUGUUUAGAAAAUGUAUUUAAAAAGAGCAAAGCAUGUUUUUCCUUUCAUUUAUAUUGUGGUUGGUAGCCGAGUCUUGCACAAUGAUUGCACCAUAUCAAUAAAUAUAACCCAUUGGCACAAUUAAUUAAAAAGUUCCAAAUAGUUGUAUUGUUCAUUAUUGCCAGAAACCUAUACUUACAUGAACAAUAAAUGGAGCUGCUAUACAUUUUGACAGCACAUUAGCACAAUUUUGAGAGACAUAAUACAUACAUCACAAUCACAAAUAAAUACCUUAAUUUCAUUUAGCACAGCAUGAGAAUGUGACAGCCUGCUAGACAUUUUAUUUCAAAUGAAUAGAAUUGCUUAUUUGAUAUUUUAUAUAUUGAUGCUUAGCAGCCAAGUUUGAACUGUGACAAAUAAAUUUACUUGAAAUGCUUGUCCUCAUUCACAUAUUUCCCUUCUUGACCUCAUCCCUGCUUGACCUCAUUCAAGAACUUACUACAUAGUAAGAAAAUAUGUGAAUAAUAUGGAGGGUGUUUUUAAGUACAAAGGUCUAUUUGAAUGCACAGUUUAUGUGUAGCAAAGAAGUUAUAAUUUGAAACAAAGACAAUCCCAGCAAUUCUGAGUGAUGUUUGACAAAGAGUGAUGUUCUUAUUUACCAUGACAUAUGUAUUUCCCCGCCCUUCCAUAGUGAACACACCAACAAAAGUUAUUUUAGAACAUUCCAUAAUGAAAUAGAAUGGUCUUUUCCUUACCGAAUAGCAAUCGACUUAAUCAUCGUUGCUCAAAAUAUGUAUUUUGAGCAACUGUGACUGUUAUUUUGCAAGUACUGUUUGAUUAUACAAAUUUUAAGUUGCUGUUUAUCUAGAGUAUUGCAAUCAAAAC
ensembl:lncRNA